rnacentral:rRNA from 1 species
UACGAAGGGGGGCUAGCGUUGCUCGGAAUUACUGGGCGUAAAGGGCGCGUAGGCGGAUAGUUUAGUCAGAGGUAAAAGCCCAGGGCUCAACCUUGGAACUGCCUUUGAUACUGGCUAUCUUGAGUACGGGAGAGGUGUGUGGAACUCCGAGUGUAGAGGUGAAAUUCGUAGAUAUUCGGAAGAACACCAGUGGCGAAGGCGACACACUGGCCCGUUACUGACGCUGAGGCGCGAAAGCGUGGGGAGCAAACAGGG